UACGUAGGGUCCGAGCGUUGUCCGGAAUUACUGGGCGUAAAGAGCUCGUAGGUGGUUUGUCGCGUUGUCCGUGAAAACUCACAGCUCAACUGUGGGCGUGCGGGCGAUACGGGCAGACUGGAGUACUGCAGGGGAGACUGGAAUUCCUGGUGUAGCGGUGAAAUGCGCAGAUAUCAGGAGGAACACCGGUGGCGAAGGCGGGUCUCUGGGCCGUAACUGACGCUGAGGAGCGAAAGCGUGGGGAGCGAACAGG
rnacentral:rRNA from 1 species